rnacentral:rRNA from 1 species
GACGAACGCUGGCGGCGUGCUUAACACAUGCAAGUCGAACGGAAAGGCCCCUUUGGGGGUACUCGAGUGGCGAACGGGUGUGUAACACGGGAGUAACCUGCCCUUGACUUCGGGUUAACUUCAUGAUACUGGGGCUAAUACCGGAUAGGAAUCUUUGCUGCAUGGUGGGGGUUGGAAAGCUUCGGCGGUGUUGGAUGGACUCGCGGCUUAUCAGCUUGUUGGUGGGGUAGUGGCUGACCCAGGCUUUGACGGGUAGCCGGCCUGAGAGGGCGACCGGCCACGUUGGGACUGGGAUACGGCCCAGACUCCUACGGGAGGCAGCAGUGGGGAAUAUUGCACAAUGGGCGGAAGCCUGAUGCAGCAACGCCGCGUGCGGGAUGACGGCCUUGGGGUUGUAAACCGAUUUCAGCAGGGGCGAAGCUUGUGGUGACGGUACCUGCAGAAGAAGCACCGGCUAACUACGUG